CCUACGGGUGACAGCAGUAGGGAAUCUUCCACAAUGGGCGAAAGCCUGAUGGAGCAACGCCGCGUGGGUGAAGAAGGUCUUCGGAUCGUAAAACCCUGUUGUUAGAGAAGAAAGUGCGUGAGAGUAACUGUUCACGUUUCGACGGUAUCUAACCAGAAAGCCACGGCUAACUACGUGCCAGCAGCCGCGGUAAUACGUAGGUGGCAAGCGUUAUCCGGAUUUAUUGGGUGUAAAGGGAACGCAGGCGGUCUGUUAAGUCUGAUGUGAAAGCCUUCGGCUUAACCGGAGUAGUUCAUUUGAAACUGGGAGUCUUGAGUGCAGAUGAGGAGGGCGGAACUCGAUGUGUAGCGGUGAAAUGCGUAGAUAUAACGAAGAACACCAGUGGCGAAAGCAGCUCUCUAAUCUGUAACUGACACUGAGGUUCGAAAGUGUGGGUAGCAAACAGGAUUAGAUACCCGUGUAGUC
rnacentral:rRNA from 1 species